CCUACGGGAGGCAGCAGUGAGGAAUAUUGGUCAAUGGACGAGAGUCUGAACCAGCCAAGUAGCGUGAAGGAUGACUGCGCUAUGGGUUGUAAACUUCUUUUAUAUGGGAAUAAAAUGUUCCACGUGUGGGAUUUUGUAUGUACCAUAUGAAUAAGGAUCGGCUAACUCCGUGCCAGCAGCCGCGGUAAUACGGAGGAUCCGAGCGUUAUCCGGAUUUAUUGGGUUUAAAGGGAGCGUAGGUGGAUUGUUAAGUCAGUUGUGAAAGUUCGCGGCUCAACCGUAAAAUUGCAGUUGAAACUGGCAGGCUUGAGUACAGUAGAGGUAGGCGGAAUGCGUGGUGUAGCGGUGAAAUGCUUAGAUAUCGCGAAGAACUCCGAUUGCGAAGGCAGCUCACUGGACUGCAACCGACACUGAGGCUCGAAAGUGUGGGUAUCAAACAGGAUUAGAUACCCCGGUAGUC
rnacentral:rRNA from 1 species